AGAAGAUCAAGCAGUUGCAUCUGUUUUGGCCGUGUUUUCAAGCGGCGUGAAAGUUGCUCCAAAUUCAAUCCUAAAUUAUUAUUUUAACAACUAUUACAGUCGUCAGGAAAAAAGAAAAAUUCAAGUUAAGAAUGGUUUCCGUUCUUCCAAAUACAACUNAGAACCUGAGUUCUCCUUUUGAUGUUCAUGUCUUAGAGGACCAAGUUCGGCUUGUAGUGAAGGCUAGGAACGUGAGGUUGACCGAGUAUUUUAAGGACUUUGAUCGUCUACGAACAGGAUUCAUUACCAAGCCCCAGUUUGACAGAUGUCUAGACCAAUUGUUUGGUAUUGUGUUAAGCCCAGAGCAGGACAUGCUUCUGAUGGAAAAAUAUGGUAGUGAUCCUAAACAGAAGAACAUGGUCAACUAUAGAAAGUUUUGUGAGGUUAUUGGAGCAGUGUUUGAUCCAAAUUAUCUUCAAGAGGAUCCUUCCACACAAAAGAUUGGUCCUGAUGCAAGUGAAACUAUUGACAGAAGACCACUGAGUCCUGCUUCUCUGGCCAAGUGUGAUGAAUUGUUGAUGAAAAUGGUAGUACACUAUAAAUACCAUGGAAUUAACAUCAAGACCUGCUAUGCUGACUUUGAUAAACACCAUAUUGGGGUAGUCACUGAACCGCAGUUUACUCGCAGCUUCCCUGGUCCUCCAGACAUCACAGAAGGAGAAGUCAUGUUACUCGUCAGGAAGUACAGAGAUAUCGCAAGGCCAGGUCUUUGUAAUUAUUAUAACUUCCAUUUUGACAUCGAAGAAAAACAGCAAAGGCUUAGAGAUGAUGCUGAUUUCACUAGGUUUGCACCGGACCAGGGCUGGGCCAACUUAGGAUACAGGGGGCCAGGUACUCCUACUAUUCAAGAUAUCUUUGAGAAAAUCCGCGUUGCUGUCUUUAAAAACGGUAUAAGAACAACAGAGUUUUUCCGUGAUCACGACAAGCUGAGAAGUGGCAUCAUAACAGAAAACCAGUUCGUUUGUGGAUUGAGUCUCUGCUGUGGUUCACAAGCUAAUCUGAGCCGAAACGAGAUNCAAAAAGUAAUCGAUCAUUACAAAACUGAUGAUGGUCGCGUUCACUAUCAAGGUUUCUGUGACAUGAUGGAAAANGCUUUUACCUUGCGCGACCUCGAGAAAAUGCCAACAGCUGAGCCUUACAGGCCCCCAGUGGGUGCCCUCGCCAAGGCGCCUAACAUAUUGAGUCCAGAAGAAGAAGCCCGUGUUGAAGAAAUUUUGACAGGACUGAUUUCUAAAGUGCGUAAGAGAAGAAUAAUGGUCUAUCCUUACUUCAAGGACUUUGAUAGGAGUAAGGGAUACACGAGAGGAGUAACCAAGUCGCAGUUUGCUAGAAUGCUGCAUUUCUUAUCGUUGGAUUUACAACCACUUGACCUCGAGUUGAUCUGUAAGAAGUACGAGUAUCCUGUCGGUGGAGAUAUCAACUACCCAGCAUUCAUCCAGGCUAUUGACUCAGAAUAUACUGGUACUUCUAUGACACUGUCCGAUAAAUCAGAGCACAAUAGCGAAAGUACGGGUGCACCAAAGGAACCUAUAGUGGACUUGAACAGCGUUGAUCCCCAGGAUCUGAUUGGUCGAAUAAGACAUCACGUGCUUGUUAACAGGCUAAGGGUGGAAGAAUUUUUCCAGGACUUUGAUCCCCUUCGUCAUGGCUCUAUCAGUGUUACUCAGUUUAGACAGUGUCUAAACUCACUUGGCCAGACUAACCUAACUGAAGCUCAGUUCCAAGUUUUAGCACGGCAAUAUGCCGACGUAAAAAGACCAGGAAAUGUUAUGUGGACUAAGUUUCUCACAGACGUUGAGAUCGUGUUUACAAGACGUGGCCUCGAAAAAGUACCAGCCUAUGAAGUAUCUCCCAUGGAAACCUUUCAAAUGCCAAGGCCUGGAGCUCGAACCAACCUAGCAACCAUUGAACAGGAUCAGGUCCUAGAUAGCAUUAUGCUGCGCAUGCGCAGUAAGAUACAAGAACGCCGUAUCUUNUGCAAGCCCAUUUUCCAAGAUUUUGACAAGCACAAUAAUGGUCACGUGACUAAGUCUCAAGCCCGCCAGUGCAUGCUCAAUCUGGGUCUCACCAACGAUGAACAUGAAAUGAAGCUAAUAGAGGGAAGAUAUGCCAACGACAUUGGCUUUAACUACACGGAAUUCCUUGAAAGGCUUCAGCCCUCACACAAACCCCAACACAUGUACGUGAAACGACUGGAAGAGAUAGAGAGGGUUAACAACAAGACCAUGCCCGACCUGGGUGAAGACAACUUGAACUUCAUCAUGCACAAGAUCAAGUGUAAAGUCAUGAAAGAAAGGAUAAGAGUAUNUGAAUGGAUGAAAGAUUACGAUAAACUGAGAACUGGAAGAAUGAGCAGGGUGAACUUUGCUCGAGCUAUGGAUGUCAGUUCGCUCGGACUGACCAAGAUGGAAGUGGAAAAGAUAAUGGAUGCGCACAUCAGCCACGUUNAGCGAGAAACACUCUGGUGAACGAUCACAUUUCCAACAACACUGAAGAAUGUUUGGCACUGCAAUGGCUUGAAUGAUGUUCCCAUCGAGUUUGAAGAACGACAUUUUACUGAAAGAAGAUCCUUCCGAAAAAUCACAAAACGAAACGAGUAAAAUGAUGAAAACUUGAGAACUGCAAAAACUCAUUGUAGAGUACUUCAAGUAAAUUCACAGCUUGCUUCAACAAUACAACACUUUUUCUUNAAAGAAAUANUCCUAAUUGUCCUUAGACCCAACGUAAUCUGAAGAUCAGGGACUCUAGGAAAAAGCUAUGAUAUAUAAAUAUAAAAAACGCAAGGAAUACAAAAGAAAUUGCGGAAAUCGGGUUAUUACUGAGACUCAGGUCAGUUCAAUGGAUCCACUUCAAUAUAAUAUUGUAACCGUCGGUUACUNAAGUUAACAAAUAAGGCAACUGAU
rnacentral:misc_RNA from 1 species